rnacentral:rRNA from 1 species
UACAGAGGUCUCGAGCGUUAGGCGGAAUCACUGGGCUUAAAGCGUGUGUAGGCGGAUUGGUAAGUACCUUGUGAAAUCCCGCGGCUCAACCGUGGAACUGCCUUAGAUACUGACGGCCUCGAGGGAGGUAGGGGCGAGCGGAACUGUGAGUGGAGCGGUGAAAUGCGUUGAUAUUCACAGGAACUCCGGUGGCGAAGGCGGCUCGCUGGACCUUUUCUGACGCUGAGGCGCGAAAGCCAGGGGAGCAAACGGG